ACUGAAAGCCCCUCAAUUCACCUCGAUCUAUCCUCUCGCUCAUGUGACAAUGGAGGAACCCUACACACGCCACCACCACUGCCAUUCCAUCCGGCUCGCAGGCCCUCGCCCCGUUCCUGAAGGUCAACCAACGUGUCCUCCCUCGCCAGCCACGCCGCCGUUCCCUCCGGCUCACAGCCCCUCGCCCCGUCCCUGAAGUUGAACCAACACUUCCUCCAUUGCCCAGCCGCCGCUGCAGUCCUCCUUUUCCUGCCUUUCCCCAUGGUGUAGCAGGCAGUGGUCCCUGCCCUGGCUAUGCCUACUCUGGCUGGUCCAUAGAGCUAAGAAAAAAAAUCAUAUUGUUGGCAGCCAGAUUGGGUAUGAAGUUCAGAUAAUCUCUAUACCACGGCAGCUACCAGAUUGGGUACAGAAGGUGGAUGUUACUAAGAUCCUUUGAAUGUACUGCUGGCUGCAUAGAAUUAUGGACUAUUCGAUCGAAACACACACAUUUUCAUUGGAUUUGGAAACCUGGUGUUCUUUCAAACAUUCGAAAAAUCUGAUCUUGAAAUGUUUCACCAUGGUGAUCAUCAACUCUGCGGUGAUAAUUGCUGACCUGACGCAUCAGGUGAAAUCCAUCCAGCAUAUUUUUAUAUAUUAUAUAUUGCUUUCUUUAAAAGAGAAAUUAUUCUGGCUUGUAAGUUCUCCAAUGCAGGACGGGGUUAUUAUAUCAUUGCGCUGUUGAAGGACUCAUACCGAUUUAUAUCACGGUCAAAUAUGGAGAGUCUCAAGCCAACUCCUCGAGUAGUCUUGAGACUCGGGGGCUACAAUGACAUGACUCGGGAACUCCGGGUCAUUGGAGGGAAUGAUAACCCGGUUCCGGAGGACACUGCCAUAUUAAUGAAAAUUUAAAGGCCGUCAUAAAAUUGACGGUUCAAAAUAAAGAUUCUGGUUUAAAAUCCGGUUCAAGAGACAUAUCUCUCCCACAAGCUUCGAAGCUCUCAAAUCCGGUUCAAACAUCCGGCUCAAGGUAAAUUUGUCUUUUACAAAGCUUUUAAGCUCUCAAAUCCGGUUCAAACAUCCGGCUCAAGGUAAAUUUGACUCUUACAAAGCUUUUAAGCUCUCAAAUCCGGUUCAAACAUGGGUAUCCUGCCUUACGGCUUAUCCUAUUAUGGUCACUUGGGGGCUUCCUGCUCAUCGAGCAUAGCUGUCGGUACCUUCUUGAUUGACGCGAUGCCAAAAUUUAUAUGGUCACUUGGGGGCUUCCUGUUCGAACAUAGGUCAUAUUCGAACCAAAGAGAACAUAGCUGUCGUAACCCUCUUGAUCGGUGCAAAGUCAA